ACAGUAACCCGAGAAUCAAUUGUCGUCGUCUGUCAAAACAGGGACGCGCAAGAAACCUAAAGGAACAAAAUCAAACUCGGGGCGACUUGUUUCAGCUUCAAAAUGUCACUUUUCCGGACUGUUUAGGAGGAGCAGGAGGAGUCAUAACACCUUAUAAAUCUGCAGAAAGUGGCAGCAGAUUUAUCAUGACCACAGAUCAAGAAUCCCUUCAUGCCCUUGAAGGGUUGAUGAACGAAUUCUUCGGUCCAGCCACAACCAAUGUUAGAAAGAGAGACAUCGAGACCAUUUUAUCCAAUUUCGGACAACAGCGCGGGGCCUGGAAGCAAUGUCUGUACUACGUAGCUCACACCCGCAACUCCUAUGUGUCUAUGUACUGCCUCACCACCCUGGAGAACAUCAUCAACAAGCAAUGGGUGGGUCUUAUGGCAGACGAGAGAACCGAGAUCCGCUCCACUCUCUAUCGCUUCGUCUUGGAGAACCAUAAGGUGGCCCCAUACUACAUCCGCAACAAGCUUGUCAAGUUGGUCGUAGAUAUCGCUCGUCUGUCGUGGCCUCAUUUCUACCCUGACUUCUUCACCAAUGUCUUAGCUUUAGCCAGAAGUCCAGAUACAGUCAUUUUGUGUAUCGUGUUCCUCCAAACCAUCAGUGAGGAAUUAGCAUGUCCGAGGGAAGAGCUGUCAUAUUCACGGAGAACAGAGCUGCGGCGGUUGUUAUCCCAGCAAGUCCCAACUAUGCUUACCCUCCUGUCGAGUUUAUUAGAAGGUGUGGUAGACAAGCACAAAAAUGCAGUGACUGCUACCCCUCCUCCCUCCCCAACACACUCCCACAGCCAUUCCCCAAGCCGAUCCGGCCUCUCCUCCUCUCCUAUUCAGACAGGUACUUUGCUGAGCAACAUGUUCCACAACCUGGAGAGUGGAACAAGUUCUCGCACGGGAUGGGUCUUGCCCCCUCUUGACUCAGAAAGUGAAACCAUAGCGUGUCUGGCACUGAACUGUCUAACACACUUAUUCUCGUGGAUUCCCCUCUCCUCGCUCAUAACACCUCACCUGCUCAAUACAAUAUUCCUUUUUGCUUCUUUAGGAGCUGAUCCACAGCACAAUAAGCUCCACAACGGAUCCCUCGAUAACAGUUUCAUGUCUGGCGAUUCCCUUGGUGUUCUAGCCAUGGGUGCCAUCAACGAGAUCAUGAGCAAGAACUGUGUCCCGCAUGAUUUUGAGGAUUUUCUGCUCCAGAUGUUUAGAAACACAUUCCAGCUCUUGCAGAGGCUUGUGCGGGACGAGCCGAACACAACCACCUCACGCCUGCAGUUGUUAGAUUCAAGUUACAUUGACAAAUUCUCAGAGUUUCUGAGGCUCUUUGUGAGUGUUCAUCUUCGAAGAUUUGAAAAUAACUCCCAGUUCCCAGUCCUUGAGUUUCUGUCUCUUCUCUUCCGAUACACAUUCCAUCAGCAUUCUGUCGAGGCCUAUUUCAAUUGCCUGGAUGUGUGGGGCAUUUUCCUAGACCAUCUUUCAUCCAAGAUCAUUGGAGCUGAGGACAGGAAUGCAGUUUCAAGGUAUGAAGAUGCUUUGAUAUCACUUGCUCAAGGGAUUCUGCACAAGAUCCAGCUAAGGCACAACCAGGCCGAACUGGAGGAGCUUGAUCAUGAGAUCUGUGAGGAGAUCUCGGAAGGCUGCGAGUCCUACUAUGGAGAAAUUGGGAGUAGUGACGAGGUUUCUGAGUGGCAUUCCUUCUUCACGAGAAACCUGGAGUUGCUUGCCAAGAUUGCAGACUUGUUGCCAGACCAAAUAUUUACCCUAGUGUAUGAUCCCUGGUGCGAGACCACGAAAAUCUACCUUACCCUCCAGUCGAACAUGGUGGAACAAAAUGGCAGACGGAGACUGAAUAUUUCAGCGGAGCAUGAGUGUCCACGGCUGCAUUGCCUCCUACGUGAUUUAUCUUCACUACUGCAGGCUGUUGGUAGAUUUUCAACCCUUUUUUUAGGAGAAGAACUGCCUAAGAGAUCAGCAACAGCAAUACAAGUCAUAGAAAAGCUUGUAGAAAUGGCCAAUUUCAGCACAGGUCUAAAGUUGUUUGAGGUGGAGACAGCAGUGGAUGUCUUACAUUCAGAUUUUGUGGAAGUACAUGCGCAGGUUCUGUCGACCCUACGAGCCUGGGUGCACUGGCUGUCUCAGUUAUAUGGCCAGCAGUUUGUGCAAGUGUAUCCUGGAGGCACGCAGACUCACCAGCACCAAGAUACCUGCCAUACUAUCAACAAACAGAUGCUAGUCGCAGCUACAAAUGUGUUGAAUGUGGGGGCUCCAGGAUUAAUAGUGAACUGUGGAGUGCAAUUGCUGUUGUCCCUGUCAGUGAUGGUGCGGUCACCUGUGGCUCUGGAGAUGAACCAAGUGCAGUCUCUCUAUGUUCAGGCACCUUCUGUCUCGUCAGAUGUUAAGGUCCGGAGGUUAUUAUUACGUGCUCUAGUGAACUUCCUCUUACUUCCGUGGCCCAGCUUUAUUGUGGACCACAGACUAGAAACUAGAAAACAUCAUCUCACCACAUUCAUCAACUCAUUUACUAGUGAUGUCCGUAAGAUAAAUGUCCAAACUCUCGCAGAUGACAAGACGAUGCAGGAGAGCAUGGCACCAAAGCUGUGUGACACACUGUCCAUCAUAAAGUACCAAGUAGAAGAACUGAACAGCACUGACAAAGCCAGCCGUGAGCUGUACUAUCACUGCAUUCAAGAUAUAAUUCAUCAGGCCAUACUCCUGUUUCCUGUAUAUGUCCAGCAUGCAAGUGUUUGUGAAGAGAUCCUCGCCCUGAUGGUAGUGGUGAUGCAAGUCCUCCGUGUCCAGCUGGGACCUGCCCGAGUCGAAGCAACCAUCCAGACCUUCCUGGAUGUCUUCACCACGCGCCACCACCUCCAGCUGGCCAUCUCGGCUGAUAACCCUGCGGCUGUCAGGGUGUUGGAAAAAUUCCUGAAGCUCCUAGAACUCAUCGUGAGUGAACCCGGUCAGUCGUUCAAGAGGUUCAUCCCUAACACCAUCACCCUGUGCAUGGACCACAUUUAUCCCGUUGUGUCCGAGCGUGCGUCUCCUGAAGUAAAGGGCCCCUUGUUUGAGCUCCUCAGGUGCCUCCUAGAACAUAAUUGGAAGUAUUUCUUUAGACCAUCUGUCCACAUAUCCCUUGGAGCCGGAAACUGGGACUCGAUUGAAAAUGAAGCUCAGUUCAUCCAGAUUAUGCAGGCCUUCGGACAGUCGUUCAUGCAGCCAGAUAUCACCAUCUUCAAGCAGAACCUAGAAGCUUUGGAAGCAUUAAACUCAAAAUAUAAGCUGUAUCAUAAGGGUGUAUUCCGAAAUUCCAUGCUGGGCCAGUUCAUCACUGUCCUGCUGCAGGUGCUGGUGCAUCGGUCUCAGGACCUGCUUCAAGAGGAGAUAACUAUCACAGUGUACAACAUGGCCUCUGUGGAUUUCAACACCUUUUUCUCAGCUUUUGUUGUCCACUUUCUUCAAAAUAUGGAUGGGCUAGAUAAUGACCAAAGAACAACUCUGAAAGAGAACUUCAAAACUGAUACCGAUUUGCCAACAUUUACCCAGAAUGUCCAGCGAUUCAUCAAUGAUCUGCGUUACUACCGCACCUGCAAUGCUAGUCUACCUCCUGGCACAGUCAAGUUAUAGUAUUAACAUAUGCAUGUGUUCAUCCAGGAAUAUUUAUGGGAAACCUUCAUAUUUGUGAACUUCAUUAUACUAACUACGUGUGUUGCAGCAUAAUCUUUGUCAGCUGGUCUGCUUCAUAGGCAAGUACUCUUUAUAAAAAGAUGCAAGUUAGAACUUGGGUUUGAAGUGAAAGCAGAGUAUUUGUGUCUUCAUAUUGCCACUUUUUUUUAUCAGUGACUUUUCACCCAAUUAUGAUUCAGACACAUCUGACUUAUCUCCAGAGAAGGAAGAUUUGUAAUAAUUUUGAGCUUUAGAGAUUUAUGAUUUUUUCUAAACCCAAUGUUAGUAAAGGACUACAAAGUUCCUCUUUUUCAUUUUUUUACUGACACACAGUCAGUUAUAUACAGGAAUAUUCUCUUUAUUUAAAUAAAAAUUAUGCAUUUUGAUCACCUUCAGUGUUGAGAAUGUUCAUUUGACUUCUCCGUUAAUAUUUAGUGUUCUGCAAAAGGUUCAUGUGGUUUCAUUUGCUGCUUGGGGUAAGUAUACCAGGUCUGAGUUCAUGUUUCUUUUAUGUUGUAUUUUAAAGGCUGCUUUCAGUUGCCAUUUAACUUUUUUUAAAAUCUAGACUUCAUCUUUUUCUUCUCUUUUCUUUAAGAAAAUUGGAAGUAACUGAUGUAUCUUAAACACAUAAGGUGUUUGAGAAUUUCAAAGUAAUUUGGUUGUAAAUGAAACUGCAUUUAUUUAAAGAAGUCCACUGUUGUAUGCUUACUAAAUGUCAUAUUUUUCUGUGAAUACAGGAACUUAAUAUAUGAAUCAAAAUGAAUACCUCUUUAUAGCUUCUAGUAAUUUUCAAGUUAGAAAAAAGAAUUACCAAAACUUUUUGACUUCUCAUGCCCUUGCAGUGCAUUAUACAAGAAUUUCCGUCCCUUUGCUUUCCUUUAUUUAAUUCUCAAUUCUGCAUAACACUGUAUAAUUGUAUAUCUAAGCAACUCCUCUCCUGUUACCCCUGUUGGCUCUUUUUCCCUUUAGGUAAAUUCAUCUAAGGAAAGUUUUUAUGAAUUUUACUUAAAUGAAACAAUUAGCAUGACUGCAGCCUAUGUCUGUGAUCGUUGACCCAUGUGAUAAAUAUGUGCUUAAGUUUUGUGGACCAAUGUACAGUCAUAUAUGCCAGCCACCCAAAAUUUGAGUAUGUAUUAGAAUGCACUCAUUUAAUUAGGGAUAAACCUCAGUUCCUCAUUCUGUGACAGAAAUGCUUAGAAAAUAUUUGUUGUCACACUGCCAGUUUGUGUUUUGCUGAUAUAUGCUUGCUGAAUUUUUGUGAAGAUUGAUCAAGGAAGUUUGUGCACCUUUUUAGAUUGAUGGCGAAAUGCUAAUUGCAUUUGUUACUGUGUCAGAUCGUUACAUAUGAUAUUGGAGUUUCUUUUUAUUCUUUUAUUUAAUCAGUUGAGCACAGGUUAGUCUCAGUAUUAUAACUGAUCUUUAACUGAUGUUUGACAAAAGAGUUGAAUGACAUAAAUGUGUGUCUGGAGCACAAUGUAUUCAGUUUGCUGUGACAUGGAGGUACGAAAACAGUGGCACUGUGACACCACCUUCAGUUAAACAACAUCAUUUGUGCAGAUUUUCAUUCAUAAAACAUUGACGUAGAUAUUCCACAUCAUGUUAGUGUGUGUAUGGGCGUGUAUGUCUGUG
rnacentral:misc_RNA from 1 species